rnacentral:rRNA from 1 species
CCAAAUCUUUAGCCACAUAAAUCCUUAUAAUAACCCACUAACUUAUUCCUUUAAUUUAAAACAUUCUCUUAAUUAAGUAAAGGCGAUAAAAAAAUUUCUUAGAGCGAUAUAAAUAGUACCGUAAGGGAACACUGAAAUAAAAAUGAAAUAACUUUUAAGCAUAAAAAAGUAGAGUUCACCCCUUGUACCUUUUGCAUCAUGGUUUAACUAGUCCCCCUUAGGCAAAAAGACUUUUAGUCUAACCCCCCGAACCUAGGCGAGCUACUUUAAGACAACUUCUAGAGCCAACCCGUCUCUGUAGCAAAAGAGUGGGAAGAUCUUAUAAUAGCGGUGACAGACCAAACGAGCCUAGUGAUAGCUGGUUGCUUUUUAAAAGGAUUUUAGUCCAACUUAAAGUUAUAAUUAUUCUAAAAAAUCUACUUUAAAGUCAUUCAAAUAAGGUUCAGCCUAUUUGAAAAAGGGUACAACCUUUACCACUGGGUCACCUUACGUCAUUUAACAAAGUAGGCCUAAAAGCAGCCACCUCAAAAAAGCGUCAUAGCUUAAUUUUCCAAUUUAUAUAAUUCCCAUGACUUCACUCAACCCUUCACCACCAAAAAGCAAUUCCAUACACUUAUAGAAAAUUUUAUGUUAAAACUAGUAACAAGAAGCCAGCCCUUCUCUUAAAUGUACCUAUAUACCUACAUGGACCCUCCAUAGAUAAUUAACGUUUAUAAUUCCAUAGUAUUUUUUUCCCCGAAAACCCUACUAUUAUUAACGUCAACCUAACACAAGAGCAUUGAAAGAAAGAUUAAAAGAUAAAGAAGGAACUCGGCAAACCAUUAGCCCCGCCUGUUUACCAAAAACAUCGCCUCUUGACUAACUAUAAGAGGUCAAGCCUGCCCAGUGACAUUGUUCAACGGCCGCGGUAUCCUAACCGUGCGAAGGUAGCGUAAUCACUUGUUCUUUAAAUGAGGACUAGUAUGAACGGCUUCACGAGGGCUAUGCUGUCUCCUUUAUCCAAUCAGUUAAACUAAUCUCCCCGUGAAGAAGCGGGGAUACUUCUAUAAGACGAGAAGACCCUAUGGAGCUUUAAACAUUUUAAACACUUGAAUCUUUAUUAUUUUAACCUUCAGAAAAUUUCAUUAAACCUCUCAUUCUGUUUUAAGUUUUAGGUUGGGGUGACCACGGAGAAUAAUCUAACCUCCACGUAGAAAGAAACUUCCUUUCCAAGCAAAAAACCACAUCUUUAUGCAUCAAGAUAUUGACUUAAAUUGACCCAAUUUUUUGAUCAACGAACCAAGUUACCCUAGGGAUAACAGCGCAAUCCGCUUUAAGAGCUCCUAUCGACAAGCGGGCUUACGACCUCGAUGUUGGAUCAGGGUAUCCCAGUGGUGCAGCAGCUACUAAUGUGUUCGUUUGUUCAACGAUUAAAACCCU